GCGGAGGGAUCAUUACACAACAAAAAUAUGAGGGUGUGGUUUGCUGGCAACAGCGUCCGCCCCAAGUAUUUUUCACCCAUGUCUUUUGCGCACUUUUUGUUUCCUGGGCGAGUUCGCUCGCCACCAGGACCCAACCAUAAACCUUUUUUUAUGCAGUUGCAAUCAGCGUCAGUAUAAUAAUUCAAUUUAUUAAAACUUUCAACAACGGAUCUCUUGGUUCUGGCAUCGAUGAAGAACGCAGCGAAAUGCGAUACGUAGUGUGAAUUGCAGAAUUCAGUGAAUCAUCGAAUCUUUGAACGCACAUUGCGCCCUUUGGUAUUCCAAAGGGCAUGCCUGUUCGAGCGUCAUUUGUACCCUCAAGCUUUGCUUGGUGUUGGGCGUCUUUUUGUCUCUCCCCUUGUUGGGGGAGACUCGCCUUAAAACGAUUGGCAGCCGACCUACUGGUUUUCGGAGCGCAGCACAAAUUUGCGCCUUCCAAUCCACGGGGCGGCAUCCAGCAAGCCUUUGUUUUCUAUAACAAAUCCACAUUUUGACCUCGGAUCAGGUAGGGAUACCCGCUGAACUUAAGCAUA
rnacentral:rRNA from 1 species